UACUACUACUAAAUGUGGUUAAAAUCAAACUAACACAUUAGAAAAUUUAAUAAUUUGAAAUAAUUUGUUCUAUUAAUUCAUUUUCUCCUUGUUUAGUUUUGUAAAUAUUAUUUUUUUGUAAAGUAAAUUUUUUUAACUUUUUUUAAUGAAUUUUUUAAUACAAUAGCAAUUUGAAAUUGAUUAUGUACCUAGUUUUGAGAGCUCUAAAACUCUCAAAAUGUCUGAAAAAGACAAUUAGCUCUUUCAAAACUGAAUAGUAACAAUUUUAUAUCUGAUCUAAAAAUCAGAUAAUAUUCCAAAGUCUUUUAAAAUUAAACCGAGUUUAUUUUUAAAAUUUUAUAACUUUUAGUUAUAAAAAACUCUAAAAUUGUUAAAAUACCUUAAGAUAUAUUAUCUAAAUAG
rnacentral:misc_RNA from 8 species